rnacentral:lncRNA from 1 species
UUUUGCAGAAUGAAACAAAUAGAGUUUAGGUUAAGGUAAUCUUUUGUUUUGUUUCAUUUAUGCUGCAAUUUUCUUUUGGUUCAAAUUGAUCCCAUAUAUAUGUCAUUUGGUUUUAUUCAUUAAGAAUUGAUUUCGGUUUUCUAUAACUUUUAUGGGUUUCAAUUUUUCUUCUAGUGCCAUACAGAAAUCUUGUUCUAUUCUUUUUCAAAUAUGUAAAGAAAUUGGAACAAGACUCAAGUACAGUUAUGGAAAUUGCAAGUUGUGUUCUUAUACUUGCAAAUUUGGUUAUCAUUUUGGUAAGUAUUUUAAAUUCAAAUAUUGGACGGUUUAAGGAUAUGUAUUUUAAAAUAAGUUGAUUGAAACAUAACGUUGCCAAAGUAACCCUUUUUGUGGAGAUUAAUUUAUUUUGAAAUACAAAAGGUUGUGUGCUUGUAACUUAUGUGAAUAUUUAACCGGCCCAAAGGAAGGUAACUAUUUUACAGAAUUAUAAGUGCAACUGUGGUGAUAAACGUGUGAUAAUUAUUCGGUUUUACGUGUGAAUAAUAAAUUGGCCCAAAGGAAAAUUUGUUAUUUGACAUGUUUUUUUUUAUUAUCAGUGUUUGAUUACUACGCCAAGGUAUCACUGAAAAGUUAAUAUUUUGUCCAAAGAUAGAAUGUUAAUGGAUUCCCGAUAUCUUGUAAUGGGAUUUAUCUUUAUUUGAAUUUAAAAUNN